rnacentral:rRNA from 1 species
GUUUUUUUUUUCAUCAUAGCGAGGAAAAGAAACCAACUGGGAUUGCCCUAGUAACGGCGAGUGAAGCGGCAAUAGCUCAAAUUUGAAAUCUGGCUCCCUUUGGGGGUCCGAGUUGUAAUUUGCAGAGGGUGCUUUGGCGUUGGUGGCGGUCUAAGUUCCUUGGAACAGGACAUCGCAGAGGGUGAGAAUCCCGUUUGUGGUCGCCUACCUUCGCCGUGUAAAGCCCCUUCGACGAGUCGAGUUGUUUGGGAAUGCAGCUCUAAAUGGGAGGUAAAUUUCUUCUAAAGCUAAAUACUGGCCAGAGACCGAUAGCGCACAAGUAGAGUGAUCGAAAGAUGAAAAGCACUUUGGAAAGAGAGUCAAACAGCACGUGAAAUUGUUGAAAGGGAAGCGCUUGCAGCCAGACUUGCCCGUAGUUGCUCACCUAGGCUUUUGCCUGGGGCACUCUUCUGCGGGCAGGCCAGCAUCAGUUUGGGCGGUCGGAUAAAGGCCUCUGUCACGUAUCUUCCUUCGGGUAGACCUUAUAGGGGAGGCGACAUGCGACCAGCCCGGACUGAGGUCCGCGCUUCUGCUAGGAUGCUGGCGUAAUGGCUGUAAGCGGCCCGUCUUGAAACACGGACCAAGGAGUCUAACAUCUAUGCGAGUGUUUGGGUGUAAAGCCCGAGCGCGUAAUGAAAGUGAACGGAGGUGGGAACCCUUUGGGUGCACCAUCGACCGAUCCUGAUGUCUUCGGAUGGAUUUGAGUAAGAGCAUAGCUGUUGGGACCCGAAAGAUGGUGAACUAUGCUUGAAUAGGGUGAAGCCAGAGGAAACUCUGGUGGAGGCUCGCAGCGGUUCUGACGUGCAAAUCGAUCGUCAAAUUUGGGCAUAGGGGCGAAAGACUAAUCGAACAUCAUGUGUCC